rnacentral:rRNA from 1 species
UACAGAGGGGGCAAGCGUUAUUCGGAAUUAUUGGGCGUAAAGGGCGCGUAGGCGGCUUGGCAAGUGGAAGGUGAAAUCCCUCGGCUUAACCGAGGAACUGCCCUCCAAACUGCUUUGCUUGAGGCCGGGAGAGGUGAGUGGAAUUCCCAGUGUAGCGGUGAAAUGCGUAGAUAUUGGGAGGUACACCAGUGGCGAAGGCGGCUCACUGGACCGGUUCUGACGCUGAGGCGCGAAAGCGUGGGGAGCAAACGGG